AANCUUUUAAGUUAAAGAUUGAGGGUUCAACCCCCUCCCUAGUGA
rnacentral:tRNA from 1 species